CGGUUGAUCCCGCCGGACCUGACUGCUAUCGGAUUGAUACUAAGCCAUGCGAGUCAUUGUAGCAAUACAAGGCAGACGGCUCAGUAACGCGUAGUCAACCUAACCUAUGGACGGGAAUAACCUCGGGAAACUGAGAAUAAUGCCCGAUAGAACACUAUAUCUGGAAUGGUUUGUGUUCCAAAUGAUUUAUCGCCGUAGGAUGGGACUGCGGCCUAUCAGUUUGUUGGUGAGGUAAUGGCCCACCAAGACUAUUACAGGUACGGGCUCUGAGAGGAGUAGCCCGGGGAUGGGUACUGAGACACGGACCCAGGCCCUAUGGGGCGCAGCAGGCGAGAAAACUUUGCAAUGUGCGAAAGCACGACAAGGUUAAUCCGAGUGGUUUGUGCUAAACGAACCUUUUGUCGGUCCUAGAAACACCGAUGAAUAAGGGGUGGGCAAGUUCUGGUGUCAGCCGCCGCGGUAAAACCAGCACCUCAAGUGGUCAGGAUGAUUAUUGGGCCUAAAGCAUCCGUAGCCGGCGCUGUAAGUUUUCGGUUAAAUCUGUACGCUCAACGUACAGGCUGCCGGGAAUACUGCAGCGCUAGGGAGUGGGAGAGGUAGACGGUACUCGGUAGGAAGGGGUAAAAUCCUUUGAUCUAUUGAUGACCACCUGUGGCGAAGGCGGUCUACCAGAACACGUCCGACGGUGAGGGAUGAAAGCUGGGGGAGCAAACCGGAUUAGAUACCCGGGUAGUCCCAGCUGUAAACUAUGCAAACUCAGUGAUGCAUUGGCUUGUGGCCAAUGCAGUGCUGCAGGGAAGCCGUUAAGUUUGCCGCCUGGGAAGUACGUACGCAAGUAUGAAACUUAAAGGAAUUGGCGGGGGAGCACCACAAGGGGUGAAGCCUGCGGUUCAAUUGGAGUCAACGCCGGAAAUC
rnacentral:rRNA from 1 species